AAUAAAGAAACCAAUGUGUUCAUUGGGUUCAGAGUAAAUUCCUGGGCAGUGAGGGUGAGGAACACACCUCUCCAUGGGACACCUCAGUCAUCAGAUCUGCCUGAGGGGGUCCCAAGGCCACUGGCACCCUGAGGAUCGAAAAUCUGGCAACUCACCUGGCCUAGCAUGCCAGCACAGGUGAAAAUCUCUGUAAUGAAAUGCAUCUUUUGCUUCACUACCAAUAUUUAUCAGAUGGUUCCAUUUAGAGGGCUAGUAGCAAGGGAAAUGGCAAUGCCCAAACCCAGCUCUUCUGGAGGUUCAUAAAUCUUGAAGCAGGAUUGAAGAACGCAAGAAAGAGAUUGGUCCAACAAUUGUUCUAGAUUUGCAGAGAUGAAUCAUGAUGCUGUCUUUUCCCCACAGUACUACCAAGUCUUUCAGCCACUACAAGAACAUUCCUAUUGAUCUGCAUCCCAAUAGUGUAUAAUUGUCAUGUUGUGUUGAGAGAAGAGAGAGAAGACAGA